CCGGCACUCCCCGGCGCUCCCCGCGCCGCGCGCCCCGCACCGGCUGGAGGCCCCGGCCCCCCGGCGUUCCCUCUCCGCGCACCUCCCGGCCCGCGCUAGGUAGCAGGCAAGAGUGUGGUUAUCGUUGGACCAGGAUUCAGGAUCUGACUGAGUAGCUGACUCUUAAUCCAGUUUGUGUUGAUCACCAGGAGGAUCUGGACCUCAGUAUUACCACAUCUAGAGCUAUAAUCACAUCCCUGUUAAGCCUUCCUGAGAUCACACCAAAUGUCCUUGAUGGGAAUUGUAAACAACCCUUACUUCUGGUUUCUAAUGAUAUUCCAGGAAAGGAGCCUAACUAGAGUCAGUGAUAUGCCAACUCCACCUUUGCCUUCCACCAUGUUUGGAAGCUCCCUGAGGCCUCACCAGGAGCAGAUGCUCGUCCCAUGCUUCCUAUAAGCCUGCAGAACUGGAAAAGAAAGCUGGAUAAAGUAUUUAUAGAAGAUAGAGGACCUGUGGUGGCUCAUGCCUGUAAUCCAAGGUGGAAGGAUUGCUUGAGGCCAGAAGUUCAAGACCAGUCCAAGCAACAUAGCAAGGCCCCAUCUCUACAAAAAAUGAAAAUAAAAUUAGCCGAGCGUGAUGGCUCAUGCCUGUAGUUCUAGCUUCUAGAGAGGCUGAGGCAGGAGGAUUGCUUGAGUCCAGGAGUUCAAGAUUACAGUGAGCUAUGGUCACACCACUGCACUCCAGCCUGGGUGAUGGAGUGAGACUGUCUCAAUAAAAAGACAAAAAGGUCAAGGAAGCUUUUCCUGAUCCACUAACUAAGGACAAUCAAACCCUUCAUGAUCUAGAAUCUGGAGACUGUGUCUUCUGGGAAUAGUAUCAGAGAAAGACUGCCCUUACUGCCCACAUGUAGCAAAACUUUGAGACGUUGAAUUAUGGGUCCAUAAUCUCACAACUCAGAGGGGCACCUCUAGACUCUUGGAACUGUAUAUCUAUUGGAGACUUUAAGGUAAAGCUGAACAGAGAGACGUUUUUCUCCAGAAGCAGACAGCACCAUAGUCAUGGACAGCUUUCCCAAGAUCACAGAUCAAGACUUCUCUGCCGUCAUGAGACUCAUAACCUCUUAAUUUUUUCUUGCUUAUGCUUCUGUGAACAAUAGAAUUGGAAAAGGGGUGGUCCCGCGUGCACCCAUAGGGUAUACUUUUAUUUGUGGAGGAUUUUGCUGCCAACCUUAUACAUGGGCAAACUUAUGCCUUCAUGGAUGGAAGAUAAAGGGCUAAUAUGGGUUAGAAAUUUUAAUGGUACCUUUGUUUCUCCAUAAUCAUUCAGAAACAGAACACUGGUCCACUCUUGUUAACCUACAUCAUAGGUUGAAGAGAACAUUGCCAGGAGGCCUUCAUCCUUCCAGAUGGGCACCAUUUGUUGGGUCUUUUUCCGUGGUAUGAAGAAAAUGAAGCAAUGAUUAGAAAUUGGUCCCUCGGCCGGGCACAAUGGCUCAUGCCUGUAAUCCCAUCACUUUGGCAGGCCGAGGCGGGUGGAUCACCUGAGGUCAGGAGUUUGAGACCAGCCUGACCAAUGUGGUGAAACGCCAUCUCUACUAAAAAUACAAAAAUUAGCUGGGUGUGAUGGUGCACACCUGUAAUCCAGCUACUCGGGAGGCUGAGACAGGAGAAUUGCUUGAACCUGGGAGGCAGAGGUUGCAGUGAGCCAAGAUCACCCCACUGCAUUCCAGGUUGGGCAACAGAGCAAGACUCUGUCUCAAAAAAAAAAGAAGAAAGAAAGAAAUUGAUCCCUCAUAAUAGGCUGUAUAGCAGAUUCUACUGCAAAGGCUAUGGUUGCACAACAGACUUCUUUGAAUUUGCUUGCUAAACUUUUACUGGAUAAUACUGGGAUUACAGGUGUGAGCCACUGUGCCCAGCCUCUCCUGUUUAACUGUAUUCAUUCUAAUGUUUACUUACUUCUUUAAUUUGUAAAAUUGGGUCACUUAGAGUUUUUUUAGCCUAUCUUGCCAUUUAGCCACUGUUACUGAUAAUUUGGAUGGAAAAGAAAAAUAAAUUAUAUCACCUCUCAUCUUCAGUGUAUAUAUGUGUUAACUUAGUAAAUAUAGUAUUCUUUCUCGUUCCUAAUGAAAAUUUAGUUUACGUACUGAAACACUGCAAACUUUUAUAAAUAUUGUGAUGUAUUUGACCAAUACAAAGGAUCUUUUUAGAAACAGCAAACAGUUCUCAGAUUAUAGGAAUUACUCAUUUAAUGAUAGUUUCUUCUUAAAAAAAAAAAAGAAAAAUGUUUAGUUACCGAAUCAUAAACAACCCCUUAAAAGACACUCAGAUAAUCUCAUGGGUCAGGAAGAUGAUGAUCAGUAUAUUUGGUUAAUAAAAUAUAGCAUAGAAAGCAUAAACCAUAAAUGGAAAAUAUAACAGAUUGUACCAAAGAGAAUACAUUGAAAUACAUUAAGAAAUCGGAUUUAAACUAUGAUUGGAUCCUUCUUUAGGUGGAAGUUAUUUGAGAGAAUAAUUCCAUGAAAAUUAAAAAUUCAUGAUUCUUUCAUUGUAGGCUAGAAAAAUGGAUUUAGUCAGCUGAGAUUAAGUAUGGGGGACUCUACAAGAACCUAUGCUAGGAUAAGAAUAUUGGAGGAAAAACAGUGGAUGAGGUACCAGAUGUUAUGGCAUUCCAUCUUUGUAAAUACAUGCAAUAAAAUCUGGUCUAUCUAGCUUUCUUUCAACCUAAAUGCCACUCACCAAUCUCACUACAUUUCUGCAGUACUGUAAUUGAGGUUUAUAAUGAUGACCCUGACAUGACUUGUGAAUCAUAGCAGAAGAUUAAAUUAUGUUCUGCUUUUUCCUUCAUGUAUUUAAUUAUAUUUAUAUUAGUUGCAAACUGGAAAUCUGAUCUGUUUUAAAACCCUGCUAGAUUAACCAGAGCCUCUUUAUCAGGGACCCAACCAUCCUUAAUAGCAGAGUUUAUAGUUCAUGGGGGGGAAAAAAAACCACCCAGGAACUGAUUUUAAAAUGUGACAUUUGUACUUUCAUAGCAAGAAUAAUUAUUACGAGAUAAUUUGGAAUCAUCCAGCCACAUUUUAAAUAACUAUAACAAAUGUGUUAAUAAUAAAUUCUAUAUAGCUACUUCUUUUUAAUAAGUAUACUUCAUAUUCUGUAGUGAGAAAAAAUUUACCUUUGAAUAAAUAAAUCUUCAUCUCGGAUCUGAUAGAAUGUGGUUAGUGUCAACAAGAUAACAGAUAUUAGGCAUAUUUUCAGUUGAAUUGGUUUGUAUGUAAAAGUUUGGUUUGAGGGUCCCAUCAAGCUGCUUCCCAUCUCACCUUUGGUUUACCCAGUGAUGUAUCGUGACCGUGGUGACGAAAAAGGUCUUCUAAUAAACGUGAAUAAGCAUGUGUUAUAGGUCAGAUUUCCUGCAAGAGGAGCCUGAGACAGAGAUUCUUGUUCAAAUGUCUUAUUGAGAAUGGUCUCUCAGGAGAGGGGAAUGUGGGAGGUAGAAUGGAGCAAGAGGAUAAAGCUAAAAAAAAAAAAAAAAGGUGUGGCCCCAGCUGGAGACUGGCUUUGAUCUGAUCCUGUGGGGAACCUGCUAUAGUUUGGAUGUUUGUCCUCCCAAACCUCAAGUUGAAAUUUGAUCCCCAGUGUUGGAAGUAAGGCCUAAUGGGCAGUGUUUGGGUUAUGGGAUAGAUGUCUCAUGAACAGGUGAAUGCCCUCCCUGGGUAGUGGGAAGAAGUGAGUUCUUCCUCUGUUAGUACCUGAGAGAGCUGAUUGUUAAAAAGAGCCUGAUGCGCUCCACCCCUUUACUGACUCCCCACUGCUGGCUUUCUCUCUCACAUGUAAUCUCUGUACACAUGGGCUCCUCUUCACCUUUGGCCAUGAGUGGAAGCAGCCUGAGGUCCCAACCAGCAGCAAGUGCUGGUGCCACGCUUCUUGUACAGUUUGCAGAACCAUGAGCCAAAUAAACCUCUUUAUAAAUUACCCAGCCUUGGGCAUUCCUUUAUAGCAACACAAAACAUUCUUUAUAAAUUCUUUAUAAAUUACCCAUUCUUUAUAAAUUACUCAGCUUCGAGCAUUCCUUUUUAGCAACACAAAACAGACUAAGACAGAACCCUAGAGCAAGAGUGGCACCAUAGAGUUGGUCCCCUUGAGGCAAGGAGCCUGGCCUUUUGUACCCCCAUUGUCAGUCACUCACUGGCAGUGGGUCAGUGAUAACCCCCAGGGAAGGAACUUCUGUUCCCUGAAGGGCAAGGGUAACCUGCCAAGAGCAACUAAUCCCACAGCUAGGGAUGUGUACCACCCCAAGAAGGGGAUCUGGGCAGCGCAUCACUUAUUCACUACACAUGGGAACACUCUCAUAUAUGGGUUAACAGCUGCAGACCAACCCCUAAUAAUCCUAUAACAAGCAAAGCAUACUAUGGAAAGUACUGCAGCAGCCAAACAACAUCCAUGACCUUGUUUGUAAAAGAAUAUAUAUUCAAAGAAUAACUAGGAAAAAAAAAACACAGCUACAGAUGGAAAGAAUACAUCUCCUAACUGGGCUUAGGAACCCUGUCUCCCCUCACCCACCCUUUGUGCCAUGGAGUGGCAGCUGGUGGUGGCUUCUGGGACUGAGACAAGGUGCCCAAUAGGGGAAGAACUGAGGAUGUUAGGAAAAUUUAGGAUAGGUCUAGACAGUCUGGGAUGGGACAAGAGGAGCCUUGGGUUAAGGUUUAUGUCUGAGGCCUACUUGCCUGUCUCCUUCUUUCUUGCCUCCCACUAGCCCUAGAAAUAUGCUUGCCUGCUUAUCUUUCCUCUGCCAAUACCUGCUGCCUACUAGGACUGCUAUCUUCCCUAGCCUCCUCUGCAGUCACCUCUGUCCCUCUUCAGACAGUUUUUCCACCACUUUUCAUAUAACAACAUUCAACUUCAAUUUCCCUGACAUUUUCUGGUAGUUUGACAGUUAAAUAAUAUAGGGAGGGGGAAGAGAGUAGACAUCCUUCCCAUGCUCUUCCCCUUCUUAAAUCAAUUUUUAAAAUUUAUUUUAUUUUAAAAUUUUUAUUUAUUUUGAGACUGAGUUAUGAGUGGCUAAUUUUUGUAUUUUUGGUAGAGAAGGGGUUUUGCCGUGUUGCUCAGACUGAU
rnacentral:lncRNA from 1 species